rnacentral:rRNA from 1 species
UACGUAGGGUGCAAGCGUUGUUCGGAAUUACUGGGCGUAAAGGGCUCGUAGGCGGCCAACUAAGUCAGACGUGAAAUCCCUCGGCUUAACCGGGGAACUGCGUCUGAUACUGGAUGGCUUGAAUCCGGGAGAGGGAUGCGGAAUUCCAGGUGUAGCGGUGAAAUGCGUAGAUAUCUGGAGGAACACCGGUGGCGAAGGCGGCAUCCUGGACCGGCAUUGACGCUGAGGAGCGAAAGCCAGGGGAGCAAACGGG